rnacentral:misc_RNA from 1 species
GACGAAGGUGGCAAGCGUUGUUCGGUAUUACUGGGCUUAAAGCGUGUGUAGGCGGAAAUGUAAGCGUUGCGUGAAAGCCCCCGGCUUAACCGGGGAAUUGCGCAACGAACUGCUUUUCUUGAGGCAAGUAGGGGUGCAUGGAACUCUUGGUGGAGCGGUGGAAUGCGUAGAUAUCAAGAGGAACGCCAGUGGAGAAAUCGGUGCACUGGGCUUGUUCUGACGCUGAGACACGAAAGCGUGGGGAGCGAACGGG